rnacentral:rRNA from 1 species
AACGAACGCUGGCGGCAUGCCUAACACAUGCAAGUCGAACGAUUGCCUUCGGGUGAUAGUGGCGCACGGGUGCGUAACGCGUGGGAAUCUGCCCUUAGGUUCGGAAUAACAGCUGGAAACGGCUGCUAAUACCGGAUGAUAUCGCGAGAUCAAAGAUUUAUCGCCUGAGGAUGAGCCCGCGUUGGAUUAGGUAGUUGGUGGGGUAAAGGCCUACCAAGCCGACGAUCCAUAGCUGGUCUGAGAGGAUGAUCAGCCACACUGGAACUGAGACACGGCCCAGACUCCUACGGGAGGCAGCAGUGGGGAAUAUUGGACAAUGGGCGCAAGCCUGAUCCAGCAAUGCCGCGUGAGUGAUGAAGGCCCUAGGGUUGUAAAGCUCUUUUACCCGGGAAGAUAAUGACUGUACCGGGAGAAUAAGCCCCGGCUAACUCCGUG